UUGAUAGAGAAGGGACAGGGAACAGAACCUUCGCCCCCCGCCUGAGCAGCUGGUAGACUAGAUAUCUUCCAAACAUUAUCUCAUUUACUUCCCUGGAGUUACAAAUAGGUAGAUUUCAUGUCCGUUGAGGGGUGAGAAAGCUGAAACUUUGAGACUUAAGAAUCCUGGCCGAGGUCAGCCUCCUCCGAAGCUUCAUCUCUUGCCACCACUUUCUGGUGCACACCUAGGACAGAUUUCAAUCCCUGAGAUCCCAGGAUGAAACCUAUGUUUGCCAAAUACCAGCUACUGUGCCAGAAGAGAUCAUGGAACCAGGUGUGGAAAGCUGCUUGAGAAGAGGAGCCAAAACAUCAUAGUUGAACCGUCCUGGAAUAGAAACUCGCCCUGAAUUCUUUCUUGUGUGAAAUCCAAGAGCCCUCUCUUGGGGUUGGAUCGGGACCCUGUUCCUGUAACAAGUCCACAAUGCCAGAGAAUUAAAGAGAACCACAAAGAGCAAAGGGAAAAACAGCUAAGUGUUUCCUGGCUGAAUUUUAUUUUGCUUUCAGUUUCUGCCAUUUCAGUUCCUGUUAUCGUGCUUUGAGGUGCACUGAACUGCAGCAAACCCAGGGGAUCCAAGGCUACGUUGAAAAGCCUUUGACCACAGUGCAGGGAGCAGAAGACAUUAAUGACGUGAUGUCGACACAGCCCGCACUCAGGAUCCUCCAGGAAAAGAACACAGAGAUAACCCCGGAUCGAUGGUACUUUUUGAAAAUGCUUUAUUGCAAAAGAGUGGCUAGGGUUUUACAAGGGCUAUGAAGAAACAUAUUAAGGUUAAUAAAGCUUUUUAUUGAGUGUUU
rnacentral:lncRNA from 1 species